AGAGUUUGAUCCUGGCUCAGGAUGAACGCUGGCGGCGUGCUUAACACAUGCAAGUCGAACGAACCUUCGGGUUAGUGGCGGACGGGUGAGUAACGCGUGAGAAUCUGCCCUCAGGAGGGGGAUAACGGUUGGAAACGACCGCUAAUACCCCAUAUGCCUACUGGUGAAAUGGAUUUCGCCUGAGGAUGAGCUCGCGUCUGAUUAGCUUGUUGGUGGGGUAAUGGCUCACCAAGGCUUCGAUCAGUAGCUGGUCUGAGAGGAUGAUCAGCCACACUGGGACUGAGACACGGCCCAGACUCCUACGGGAGGCAGCAGUGGGGAAUUUUCCGCAAUGGGCGAAAGCCUGACGGAGCAACGCCGCGUGAGGGACGAAGGCCUCUGGGCUGUAAACCUCUUUUCUCAAGGAAGAAGAUAUGACGGUACUUGAGGAAUAAGCCACGGCUAAUUCCGUGCCAGCAGCCGCGGUAAUACGGGAGUGGCAAGCGUUAUCCGGAAUUAUUGGGCGUAAAGCGUCCGCAGGCGGCUUUUCAAGUCUGCUGUUAAAGCGUGGAGCUUAACUCCAUCAUGGCAGUGGAAACUGAAAGGCUUGAGUAUGGUAGGGGCAGAGGGAAUUCCCGGUGUAGCGGUGAAAUGCGUAGAUAUCGGGAAGAACACCAGUGGCGAAGGCGCUCUGCUGGGCCAUUACUGACGCUCAUGGACGAAAGCCAGGGGAGCGAAAGGGAUUAGAUACCCCUGUAGUCCUGGCCGUAAACGAUGAACACUAGGUGUCGGGGGAAUCGACCCCUUC
rnacentral:rRNA from 1 species